UACGAAGGGGGCUAGCGUUGCUCGGAAUUACUGGGCGUAAAGGGCGCGUAGGCGGCCGAUCAAGUCAGGCGUGAAAUUCCCGGGCUCAACCUGGGGGCUGCGCUUGAGACUGGUUGCUAGAGGCCGAGAGAGGGUGGUGGAAUUCCCAGUGUAGAGGUGAAAUUCGUAGAUAUUGGGAAGAACACCGGUGGCGAAGGCGGCCACCUGGCUCGGUACUGACGCUGAGGCGCGACAGCGUGGGGAGCAAACAGG
rnacentral:rRNA from 1 species